rnacentral:tRNA from 1 species
UGUUAUAUAGUUUAAAAAAAACAUUAAUUUUGUAAAUUAAAAACUUAAUAUAUUUAAUAUAACAA